rnacentral:rRNA from 1 species
UUAGAGUUUGAUCAUGGCUCAGGAUGAACGCUAGCGGGAGGCCUAACACAUGCAAGCCGAGCGGUAUUGUUUCUUCGGAAAUGAGAGAGCGGCGUACGGGUGCGGAACACGUGUGCAACCUGCCUUUAUCUGGGGGAUAGCCUUUCGAAAGGAAGAUUAAUACUCCAUAAUAUAUUGAACGGCAUCGUUUAAUAUUGAAAGCUCCGGCGGAUAGAGAUGGGCACGCGCAAGAUUAGCUAGUUGGUGAGGUAACGGCUCACCAAGGCGAUGAUCUUUAGGGGGCCUGAGAGGGUGAUCCCCCACACUGGUACUGAGACACGGACCAGACUCCUACGGGAGGCAGCAGUGAGGAAUAUUGGUCAAUGGGUGCAAGCCUGAACCAGCCAUCCCGCGUGAAGGACGACUGCCCUAUGGGUUGUAAACUUCUUUUGUAUAGGGAUAAACCUACCUUCGUGAGGGUAGCUGAAGGUACUAUACGAAUAAGCACCGGCUAACUCCGUGCCAGCAGCCGCGGUAAUACGGAGGGUGCAAGCGUUAUCCGGAUUUAUUGGGUUUAAAGGGUCCGUAGGCGGACUUAUAAGUCAGUGGUGAAAGCCUGUCGCUUAACGAUAGAACUGCCAUUGAUACUGUAAGUCUUGAGUAUAUUUGAGGUAGCUGGAAUAAGUAGUGUAGCGGUGAAAUGCAUAGAUAUUACUUAGAACACCAAUUGCGAAGGCAGGUUACCAAGAUAUAACUGACGCUGAGGGACGAAAGCGUGGGAAGCGAACAGGAUUAGAUACCCUGGUA